rnacentral:rRNA from 1 species
CAGCCCCGCGGGAAUACGAAGGGUGCAAGCGUUACUCGGAAUUACUGGGCGUAAAGCGUGCGUAGGUGGUGGUUUAAGUCCGUUGUGAAAGCCCUGGGCUCAACCUGGGAAUUGCAGUGGAUACUGGGUCACUAGAGUGUGGUAGAGGAUAGUGGAAUUUCCGGUGUAGCAGUGAAAUGCGUAGAGAUCGGAAGGAACAUCUGUGGCGAAGGCGACUAUCUGGGCCAACACUGACACUGAGGCACGAAAGCGUGGGGAGCAAACAGGAUUAGAUACCCCUGUAGUCCCUGUCUCUUAUACA